UCUCUCUCUCUCUCUCCCGCUCUCUCUCUCUCUUCUAUCCAUCCUGUCCUGUAUAGAAACAUAUCCACCAAACUACAGCUCCUAUGCACUUCAUUGUAUGAAACCUAGGUUUAUCAUAAUGCUAUAGUGUUAUAUUAUGUCUUAUUAAUCAUUGUGUAAUUUAUAAUAUCCCAUUUUCCUGAACUUGUUUUGUGUCUCCUGUACACUCUAACCAUUCCUUAUGACUGAAAACACAAACCCUGUGUUGAAUGUAAUGGUUUAAUACACUUGGUUCUAGUGAGAACACUGUAUGUCAGCAGAUGACAGGAGAGUCGCAUUGGACUUACAUUCCGUUUCUGUAUGUCUUGACUUCCUGUCUGGAUCCUCCCAGAUGGCACCAUGGUCAGUGGAUUUGGAUAUACUACUGUAGAAGUUUGUCUCAAACAUUCUUUUGUCUAUGCAUUGCGGUAACGAAAUCCCCCAGGUUUUUCCAGAAAUCCCGUUUGGAAGAUUCCCGCAAUCAGAAGUGAUGAAAUCUGGAACCUUCUCAAAACAGGAUAUUUGGAAAAUCUGGGAAUUUUGUGAAAGAUACCAGAAUUAAGUCUGACCUAUCUGUUAGAGCAGAUCAACUGUUGCCCUACGAGGUCCGGAGCUGGUUUUCUGUUCUACCUGAUAAUUCAUUACACACACCUGGUCUAAAUCAGUCCCCGAUUAGAGGGGAAUCACCCACCUGGUGUCCCAGGUCUAAAUCAGUCCCCGAUUAGAGGGGAAUCACCCACCUGGUGUCCCAGGUCUGAACCAGUCCCUCAUUAGAGGGGAAUCACCCACCUGGUGUCCCAGGUCUAAAUCAGUCCCCGAUUAGAGGGGAAUCACCCACCUGGUGUCCCAGGUCUAAAUCAGUCCCUGAUUAGAGGGGAAUCACCCACCUGGUGACCCAGGUCUAAAUCAGUCCCUGAUUAGAGGGGAAUCACCCACCUGGUGACCCAGGUCUAAAUCAGUCCCUGAUUAGAGGGAAAGAAUGAACAGAGUUGAUUUUGAGGGUGUUAUAGAAACUGAACUAAAAAGCAGCCUAGCAGAGAAUCACCGGACUGGUUUGAGGUUUGCUCACUAACGUGAAGCUGAAACAAACUCAGCUACGGAUACAUUCAGAAACCUGAUUUAUCUAUACAGAUAGCUGAUGAUCCAGAUAGCUGAUGAUCCAGAUAGCUGAUGAUCCAGAUAGCUGAUGAUCCAGAUAGCUGAUGAUCCAGAUAGCUGAUGAUCCAGAUACCUGUACAGCUAAGAAAUGCUAAGAAACACAUUUUAAUUGAAAUGCAUUAAAUCACGGGAGUAUAUCAAAUCUACAAGAAGUGAAUGACUCAGCAUGAUAAGACUGGAGCAUGAUAAGACUGGAGCAUGAUAAGACUGAUAAGACUGGAGAUGAACUCAGAUAACUGGAAACGGUAGACCUCUGUAUACACCAUAGCUACAGAACCCUUAUUGUCUGUCUAUGGUAUACACUGUAUGCUCUCAGCUCUUAAACACUGUACUGGGACCACAGAAUUAGAAUGACUCUGAUUCUAUGAUUCUAUGAUUCUAAUUCUAUACACUGUACUGGAACCACAGAAUUAGAAUGACUCUGAUUCUAUGAUUCUAAUUCUAUACACUGUACUGGAACCACAGAAUUAGAAUGACUCUGAUUCUAUGAUUCUAAUUCUAUACACUGUACUGGAACCACAGAAUUAGAAUGACUCUGAUUCUAUGAUUCUAAUUCUAUACACUGUACUACAACCACAGAAUUGGAAUGACUCUGAUUCUAUGAUUAUAAUUCUAUACACUGUACUGGAACCACAGAAUUAGAAUGACUCUGAUUCUAUGAUUCUAAUUCAAUACACUGUACUGGAACCACAGAAUUAGAAUGACUCUGAUUCUAUGAUUCUAUGAUUCUAAUUCUAUACACUGUACUGGAACCACAGAAUUAGAAUGACUCUGAUUCUAUGAUUCUAUGAUUCUAAUUCUAUACACUGUACUGGAACAUUGGUAUGCGCUGUAUGCUGUAGAAUCCCAGCAGCUGAUAACGGCAUUGAUCAGGUCCAACAAGGGACGAUAUGUUACAAGAACACUGGACAUUUUCACACUGUAUCUUGCCCACUGGAUUUAAUAAUGCUUAACCACUAGCCAAAUACAAUGUGUGUUUGAGAAGUACUUUCUUAGCUAUAUAUUUUCUGUUUUAUUUUGUUUGUAUGGUAGAAGAUCAGAGAUGACUUUCUGCUCUGGAUCGGGAUGUUGAUAGUCUCUCCAGACACGUUGAUAGUCUCUCCAGACACGUUGAUAGUCUCUCCAGACAUCUGCUUUGCCUCCCACAAUUUUCAAGUGCUCCAACUUAUGGUCUGGUUUUCAAGACUAGACAACACAAGUAUUGACAUCUGAACGGCGUUCUUUUUAAACCGCUGGUGCCUCAUCUCUCUCUAUAAAACAGGAAGGCUGGCAUCUUAUCACCAGACAGAAGCAGCUCAUGGACUUGAUUGAAUGCUGUUCAUGUCUGAGCUAAUAGAGGCAUCCAUUUUGUGACCUGGGUCUUGUAUAACCGAACAAGAAAGAAAGGGUUACCAGAGGUCACUCUAACAUUCUCCUGAAUGAGUCCAGAGGUCACUAACAUUCUCCUGAAUGAGUCCAGAGGUCACUAACAUUCUCCUGAAUGAGUCCAGAGGUCACUAACAUUCUCCUGAAUGAGUCCAGAGGUCACUAACAUUCUCCUGAAUGAGUCCAGAGGUCACUAACAUUCUCCUGAAUGAGUCCAGAGGUCACUAACAUUCUCCUGAAUGAGUCCAGAGGUCACUAACAUUCUCCUGAAUGAGUCCAGAGGUCACUAACAUUCUCCUGAAUGAGUCCAGAGGUCACUAACAUUCUCCUGAAUGAGUCCAGAGGUCACUAACAUUCUCCUGAAUGAGUCCAGAGGUCACUAACAUUCUCCUGAAUGAGUCCAGAGGUCACUAACAUUCUCCUGAAUGAGUCCAGAGGUCACUAACAUUCUCCUGAAUGAGUCCAGAGGUCACUAACAUUCUCCUGAAUGAGUCCAGAGGUCACUAACAUUCUCCUGAAUGAGUCCAGAGGUCACUAACAUUCUCCUGAAUGAGUCCAGAGGUCACUAACAUUCUCCUGAAUGAGUCCAGAGGUCACUAACAUUCUCCUGAAUGAGUCCAGAGGUCACUAACAUUCUCCUGAAUGAGUCCAGAGGUCACUAACAUUCUCCUGAAUGAGUUAUAGCUGUUGAAUACUGGACUAUAAUAUUAUUCAGGCCUUUUUCAUUGAUUGCUCUAAAUCUGUGUAACACUUUUUGUCUUCCCCUCUCUGACGGGAAACAACACCCUGUCCCCGAAGUCAUGUUUAUAUCUAUCUCAUCUGGAAAUAGUUUUUCAUGUGUCCUCUGUUAUUGUCUUCCCCUUUACUCACUGACCACUCCCCUCUUUGAUAUACUAUUGACCAUGUUCCUCAUAUGUCGUACCUAUACAGUACUUAUUAUAUACAUGUGUGAUGAAGGACCCUUUGGACAUCUGGUAUGUGAAUGCCUCAAGUUAGCAAAGAUACUGUGAUCAGGUGUGUUGAAACAGGUGUGUUGAACACAGUCCCUCUAAGAUCAGGUGUGUUGAACACAGUCCCUCUAAGAUCAGGUGUGUUGAACACAGUCCCUCUAAGAUCAGGUGUGUUGAACACAGUCCCUCUAAGAUCAGGUGUGUUGAACACAGUCCCUCUAAGAUCAGGUGUGUUGAACACAGUCCCUCUAAGAUCAGGUGUGUUGAAGAUCUCACCUGACCUGUUGUGUCAUGAGAAAUAUAAAUUUAAAAAAACAUAAUCAAAUGAAUAUACUUCAUUGAACAUGACAAAGUAUAAAGACAUUGUACUGUACUGUAUUACCAAUAUGAUGUUGACAUACAUGAGUACAGUGUAAUAUUUUAGCUUAUUUAUAAUGCACCAGCCAGCCUUUACAGUGAAACCAGCAUAGCAUUGUAUAUAUCAACUGAUUUAUGCUCUCUUGGGUGGUUCCAAAUGGUUUCAAAUGGUUCCAUCUGGUUCCAACUGGUUCCAACUGGUUUCAAAUGGUUCCAAAUGGUUCCAACUGGUUUCAAAUGGUUCCAUCUGGUUCCAACUGGUUCCAACUGGUUUCAACUGGUUCCAACUGGUUUCAAAUGGUUCCAACUGGUUUCAAAUGGUUCCAACUGGUUCCAACUGGUUUCAAAUGGUUCCAACUGGUUUCAAAUGGUUCCAACUGGUUUCAAAUGGUUCCAACUGGUUCCAACUGGUUUCAAAUGGUUCCAACUGGUUUCAAAUGGUUCCAACUGGUUCCAAAUAAUUCCAACAGGUUCCAAAUAAUUCCAACUGGUUCCAAGUGGUUUCAACUGGUUCCAAAUGGUUUCAACUGGUUUCAAAUGGUAUAGAAUUUCCUGAAAUGUUACUGUGUAGUUUCAUUUUGUAACAAUGUAUGCUCCUUUUUAUGUUAUUUUAGUUAUAUCAUUAUAAUGUUGACUGUUGUUACUCUAUCCUUGUUGUUGCUGUUAUAUUAUUCAUAUGUAAACAUUGUUAUGCUAUAUUAUGAAACUCUGUGCCAAUCAAAAUCGCUAUUCGGCUUUUACCUGUCUGACUGGAUAAGAAAACACACACACACACAGAGAGAGAGAGAGAGAGAGAGAGAGAGAGAGAGAGAGAGAGAGAGAGAGAGAGAGAGAGAGAGAGAGAGAGAGAGAGAGAGAGAGAGAGAGAGAGAGAGAGAGAGAGAGAGAGAGAGAGAGAGAGAGAGAGAGAGAGAGA